GUGCCUAAUACAUGCAAGUCGAGCGGAAUGAUGAAGAAGCUUGCNUCUUCUGAUUUUAGCGGCGGACGGGUGAGUAACACGUGGGCAACCUACCUUGUAGAUUGGGAUAACUCCGGGAAACCGGGGCUAAUACCGAAUAAUCCAUUUUGCUUCAUGGCAAGAUGUUGAAAGGCGGCUUCGGCUGUCACUACGAGAUGGGCCCGCGGCGUAUUAGCUAGUUGGUAGGGUAAUGGCCUACCAAGGCGACGAUNCGUANCCGACCUGAGAGGGUGAUCGGCCACACUGGGACUGANACACGGCCCAGGACUCCUACGGGAGGCA
rnacentral:rRNA from 1 species